GCUCUCAGCGGCCAAGAGGGAUUCCUCCCAGACGGUGAGAGUGCCAAGAGGAAUCCCUCUUGGUCGAUGAGAGU
rnacentral:miRNA from 1 species